rnacentral:rRNA from 1 species
UGUNUCAUGGGGGCACCCGAUGGCUCGACCCGCGUGGGGGAUGAAGGUCUUCGGAUUGUAACUCCUGUCAUUGGGGACUAAUGGCCAGGCUCAUACCCUGGUUUGAAUUAACCCAAAGAGGAAGCAGUGGCUAACUCUGUGCCAGCAGCCGCGGUAAUACAGAGACUGCAAGCGUUACUCGGAUUCACUGGGCGUAAAGGGAGCGCAGGCGGACUCGUGUGUCGGACGUGAAAUACCGGGGCUUAACCCCGGUGCUGCGUCCGAAACUACGAGUCUAGAGACUUGGAGGGGUAAGCGGAAUUCUUGGUGGAGCAGUGAAAUGCGUAGAUAUCAAGAGGAACACCAACGGCGAAGGCAGCUUACUGGACAAGAUCUGACGCUCAGGCUCGAAAGCGUGGGGAGCAAAAGGGAUUAGAUACCCCUGUAGUCCACGCUGUAAACGGUGCGCAUUAGGUCUUGGAGCUUUCGAACGCUCCAGGGCUCAGGCUAACGCAUUAAAUGCGCCGCCUGAGGACUACGGCCGCAAGGCUAAAACUCAAAGGAAUUGACGGGGGCCCGCACAAGCGGUGGAGCAUGUGGCUUAAUUCGAUGCAACGCGAAGAACCUUACCUAGGUUUGACAUGGACGUGGUACCCGGGGCGAAAGCUUUGGGGACCCGCAAUGGAGCGUUCACGGGUGCUGCAUGGCUGUCGUCAGCUCGUGUCGUGAGAUG